CUUGGCAACUGGCCUGAGUGGUGAAUUUAGAGAGAUGAUGAAUUAUGACCUUUCCCAGGGCAGGUCUGCCUUCCUCCUGAAGGCCAGUGGGAGAGAAUGAUCAUGUGUCCCCAUCUGCACCAUCUUGGCAGGUCACACAGAAGCAGACUGCAGGUGGGACAUCACCAGCGAAGGGCUACUAUCGCAGAGCUGUGUUUGGAGGAAAGGGUUUCCAUUCAUACAUUAUCCUGAUGGAUUACAAUUGCAUCAAGAAAUGAUCAGGAGUCGCCUUGUAAUGGGGAAUUCUACAACUGUCUCCACAAAGGAACAGCAUGUUCUGCUUUGCCGUUCUUAAUCCAUGUCCGUGAGUGAGGAAGGAGUAGGAACAGGAGAGAAGUAAAGUCUCACCUGGGUUUGUUGUUCUUUAAUGGUUAACAGGUUUUAUUUUCACUUCCAUUUAGUUUCCACACAUCUCCUGGGUCUUGUUUCACAGUUUCAAGUUCACUGGAUUAAGUGCAUCAACAACCCUAAGGAUUUUAAAUAUUUGAAUCAGUAAUGUUCUCCAUUGAAGACUAAAAAGACUCAGUCACUUUAGUCUGUCAGCCCACUAAGAGUGCCAGCCCAGGACAUACUCUUAAUUCCAAGAAUGUAUCUGGCUGCUCUUCUCUGGGCUAUUCCAGAGCAGUAACAUCUUAUUUGUAAGAUCCUGACCAACAUGUUACACUGGAUUCCAGUAAUUUAGAAAAAGGAUGAACCCUGCACAGUUAACAAGAUAACAAGGAAGC